GGCCUGGUGGUGUAACGGUAACACGCCUGCUCGCAUUGUUCCCAUGAUCCACUUCUAUCUACCUAGCUACUUGAUUUGUCAGAAAUUCCUUGUUCGACUCAAGAUCAGGCUC